rnacentral:lncRNA from 1 species
GGGCUUCCUCUCCUGGUAGGCCUCCUCUUCCCAUGUUUCACUCCCCAUUCUUCCGGUGGUUUCGGCGGAGUAGCUAUCGACUUCAUCAUUUUCUAUCAUCUCCCUCGCCCUUCUCCCAUGAACUCGAGCUGCCGGCUCUUCCUCUUCUUCGGCUCUCCUCCUCCCGUCUCCAGUUUCUUGGCUGACAGUUCUGGGGUGGUUGAAGGUAGGCUGAGGUUCGUUGGUCUGGGGUUCUUCUACCACCAGUGACACGUUGGCGGGGUGCUAAGGUCCCGUUGUUGCAUUAUCUGCCCCAACUAGUGGGCGGUGCUCUGUAGUUGAAGGGCCAUGGUUUGGAGGUCUUGGUUGGACAAGGUGGCGGCGGAAGCAUUCCCCGCCAGGCUUGGCGAGGGGUUGAAAGGGAUUGGUGUUUGGCUAUUUGGUGUUGUAGGACUAGAAAAAGAGAACUGCUGCCCCUCUUGGGCAGAGCUCAGGUCAUUUGGAGUGACAAGAUU